CCACGGGCGCAAUACUAACAGAGCCCAUUAUCUGGUGGAUAAACUAGCUGUAUUUGUACAGUAGUUCAACAGGUUCAACAGCACUGAUAUGACAAGCAGAAAUGAGGAAGAUUUCAUCUAACACAGCAAGCCUUCACAAGUCUCAGAUCUGUUCAGUGCUGACAGCAGAGAGCGUGAGAGCCAUGACAGGACUCUUAAAUAAACACAGACAGAAUGAAAUGUACUUGACAAUUAUACUUAUUAUUUCUGGAGCAGCUUGCAUCAGUGAAAGAAACAGUUCACAACUUUGUCACACCUAUGGAUGCUUUGACUCGAGUGAUACUCAGCUCUGUAUGACUCUGGCAUGAUGAUGAAGUGUACUAUGCAGAUUUUAAAAAAGAUCAAAAUUAUUUGGGGAGAGCAAAGUACCAACAACUUUUCGUGUUGAAUGGGCUUAUAAAUACGCACUAGCGUACAGAUAUUUGUGUAAAGUAAUAUAAAUAGAUGGAAACAAGACGAGACGGCCUACAAGGACUCAACAAGCUCCAGAAAACGGUCCUCUAGUCCCAGAGAUGGAAGUGCAUAAAAGAUGAAGACAAUACCCUCAUCUGCUUCAGCAACAACUUACUUUCCUCCUAAAAUAAACAUCAAUGUGGAAAAGAACAAUAAUGAAGUAAGCAGCGGAAGAUCCUUUCAUCAAAACUAUACCUAAUCCUGAUGGGACGUUUUCCUGUCUUCUUCUACCUGAACUUUGUUCCAAAACAAUGGGGACAUCUACAGCUGCACUGUGGAGCAUGAAGCACUGGAGGAGCCUCAGACCACGUUUUG